rnacentral:tRNA from 1 species
UCCCUGGUAGUCCAGUGGUUAAGACUCUGUGCUUCCAAUGCAGAGGGCAUGGGUUCAAUUCCUGGUUGGGGAG